rnacentral:lncRNA from 1 species
CUGGGAGCUGCACACAAGCACUGCCUGAAGAGAUGGAUGGCUGUUCUCCUCCAACACCAGCUACUGAGAGCUAUGCCAUACCAAGUUUGCAGUGGAAAAGCUGCCUCGACCUCCAACAGAGUGACUAAAGGACUCAGGGCCCCACAUUGAGAUGAGGACACUGCUCUGUGAUGUGAUGCUUUGUGUUGAUCAUGCCUCUGGCCACCCUG